rnacentral:rRNA from 1 species
CGACGCAGCUAACGCAUUAAGUGCCCCGCCUGGGGAGUACGAUCGCAAGAUUAAAACUCAAAGGAAUUGACGGGGCCCCGCACAAGCAGCGGAGCAUGCGGCUUAAUUCGACGCAACGCGAAGAACCUUACCAAGGCUUGACAUAUACAGGAAUAUGGCAGAGAUGUCAUAGCCGCAAGGUCUGUAUACAGGUGGUGCAUGGUUGUCGUCAGCUCGUGUCGUGAGAUGUUGGGUUAAGUCCCGCAACGAGCGCAACCCUCGUUCUGUGUUGCCAGCAUUUAGUUGGGGACUCACAGGAGACUGCCGGGGUUAACUCGGAGGAAGGUGGGGAUGACGUCAAAUCAUCAUGCCCCUUAUGUCUUGGGCUGCACGCAUGCUACAAUGGCUGGUACAAACGGCUGCAAUACCGCAAGGUGGAGCGAAUCCGAGAGAGCCAGUCUCAGUUCGGAUUGGGGUCUGCAACUCGACCCCAUGAAGUCGGAGUUGCUAGUAAUCGUAGAUCAGCAACGCUACGGUGAAUACGUUCCCGGGGCUUGUACACACCGCCCGUCACGUCACGAAAGUC